GGUCCAAUGAUGUGUGCAGGUGCCUAGCUCUGUGUAAUCUGGGGACACAUUGUAUCAGAUGGAACAAUCACUUCCUCCCUGGCUACUUAGUUGAAAAUAUAUAUUUUUAUGGCUUAGAAAAUUCCAUCUCCCGAUCUCUGAGGAUGCGUGAAACUUCUUAAUUACAUCCACACUAUGAUUGUAUCUGUUCUAUCGGGCUUCAGAUAUUUCCAGUGCUUUUAACUGAAUGCGUUUUUUCAUUAAUGUGAAAGUCUCGCUAUCUGACUAAAAGGAUUUUAUCAUAAUGGCAAGACUCUCAAAUCAUUCCCUUUGUUGCAGAGGAAUCAUCAGUGACCCGUCUUAUCUGU